rnacentral:rRNA from 1 species
GACGAACGCUGGCGGCGUGCCUAAUACAUGCAAGUAGAACGCUGAAUGAGGAGCUUGCUUCUCUGGAUAAGUUGCGAAAGGGUGAGUAACGCGUAGGUAACCUGCCUGGUAGCGGGGGAUUACUAUUGGAAACGAUAGCUAAUACCGCAUAAGAGUAGAUGUUGCAUGACAUUUGCUUAAAAAGUGCAAUUGCAUCACUACCAGAUGGACCUGCGUUGUAUUAGCUAGUUGGUUGGGUAACGGCUUACCAAUGCGACGAUACAUAGCCGACCUGAGAGGGGGAUCGGCCACACUGGGACUGGGACACGGCCCAGACUCCUACGGGAGGCAGCAGUAGGGAAUCUUCGGCAAUGGACGGAAGUCUGACCGAGCAACGCCGCGUGAGUGAAGAAGGUUUUCGGAUCGUAAAGCUCUGUUGUAAGAGAAGAACGAGUGUGAGAGUGGAAAGUUCACACUGUGACGGUAUCUUACCAGAAAGGGACGGCUAACUACGUG